UUGGCCGAAGAUCCUGCUACUCCCGCCUCCGGCCCCGCCCCUCCGCGGCAUUGGCCCAAAGCAAAGCCCCAGCAACUGGGCGGCCAAUCCUCGGCUUCCCAGCGACCUUGCAGAUUCAGUCCUCGCCGCUCACAGGAAGGGAUGUUGACUCAUCCCUCCGGAGAACGGGAGAAGGAUACGGAGAAUUAAGUUGACGGGCAGCGGCGGUUUUCUGUUGAGUAUGUGUGAAGAAUGCAGACCUCCGCUCAGGAAUCCAAGGGGCUGGUGCGAUGAGCAUCUGCUGACAUGGUUGAGAGCACAGAUGUGAUGAGACAGACCCAGGGACCUCCGGACAGGAAUGAAUGUUGAGAUGCUGGCUGGAACCCUCCCAUCCAUGCCGUGGAGUGGAUUUCAUCGUGACUCUCUCAUCCUGAAAGAUCUAACUACAACAGCCAACCACGGCUGUUCAAAACCAUUAUUUGCCCACCUUCUGUGCUGCAGGACCCCAAGCUGGCAAGGGGAGACCUUUUUAUUAAUAUUAAAAAGCAUUCAG